AGGAGCAAGAGACCCUUAACCACUCAUGCCAAUCUCAAUUGGUAAUAGUAAUAUGAGUGUGUAAACCUUGAAGUUUAUUGUUUCUAAGCUUUUGCUUCCUUUCAGACCAGUGCUCCAUACCUUGCUGACUCACACUUGCUCACCCCACUUGCUCCUUGAUUGAGAAUCUCUACCAUCUCCCUUUUCAACCCCUCUCUCAUAUCGCUUCUGCAACUUUCUCUCUCCGCUGCUAAGCGCUUCCUCGCAGUGAAAAUUGUGAAUUCCUUUAAAUUUUCUCAUCUUCAUCAGAUCGUUAAGAGGCACAAGCUCAAGUGUGUUGUUCAAUCUCUGAACUCAUUCUUUAUGGUUUUGGGCACUCCAUCACUAGAGGAAAUUAAAUGUAUCAUGCCCCAACUUCACGGAAUUCAAAUUCCCUCAAACUAAAGCUCAUCCAUGGAAAAAGAUAUUCCACGAACGAAUGCCUGCUGAGGCUGUUGAUUUGGUUUCUAGGCAACGGGCAACUAUAGUAUUCUUCUAUCUUAAGGUGUUCAGCUAGUUGUAGACCUUGCUUGUAAGGAGAAGGCUUCACAAUUUCCUAUGAAUUUUUAUCAUGGGGAUUUGGGCCUCCACUUCAAUUAGCAAGAACGUAGAUAAGCGUGAAGAUCAUCAUCUUUAUCUGAAGAUGGAGUUCGCUGAACAUUCAUCACAACUCAAUCGGAAAAACAAUGGUUAAAGAUUAUUGCCACUAAUUUAAUUGAAUGGAGGAGGAGAAAUCCAUUUUGUUGAAGUUGAAUUCUUCCCCGGAGCCAUUGUGUCUGGCACUUAGCAACCGUAUUAGCAGAGCCGAGUCAGAGCUUGGACAAAGCACUUUAUCACCAAUCAUGGCUUCUAUGAGUGUUGGGGAUACUGUUGUUAUAUUAUCUCUCUCAUCUCCUCCUCUGCCUGCUGGGAUAAAAAGACUCUUGCCUUUCAUCGAGUCUUUCUUUGUUCUUUGUGAAAAGCUACAGUCAAGUAAUACAUUUGUUCAAGAAUCUGUUGAUGCUUCUUCCUUGGCACCUGAGAAACUGCGGUGGUGAUACUCAGAAAAGAUUUGACAGUGCUGUCAUAUUUUCAAGGUUUGCUGACAAACAUCAGUGACUUUUGCAUGCAUUUAUCAGUUAAAAUCCAGAGUUGCUGGAAAAAUUGGUGUCUAUAUAUGAUGCUGAAAGCACCUCGUCGUAUAGAUUUUGAUAACAAGAGGGCAUACUUUAGUUCUAAAAUCAGACAACAGCAUGAGCAACACCUUGCUGGGCCAUCCAGAACAAGUGUUCGCGGGUGUAUGUUUUUGAAGACUCGUAUAAUCAGCUGCGAAUGAGGUCCAAUCAGGAUCUGAACUCUGAAGGGCGAUUGUAUAGUUUCAAGGUGAAGAGGAAAUUGAUGCUGGUGGCCACACACGAGAGUAGUACCAGUUAUUGUCAAGGUUUAUCAUUGAUAAGGGAGCACUACUAUUCACCUCACCACAGCUGGUAAUAAUGCAAUCUUCAACUGAACGUCUAAGUACUUCAAUUUUUUUGCUUGUGUGGUAAGACUUCAAAAACAAUCUACAGUUCCUGUUUUUAUUUUGAUUCUUGAAUUUGUCGGUAUUCAUUAUAUCACGCAUUAAAAGAACUCCAUAAGUAAUGUUGCUUGUGAAAGAAAUAAUGCCCUUGGUCCAAGUAUGCAUUCUAUGUUAAGUCUAAUAAAUGCUGUUCAGUAUUAAUUAACAAGUUAAUAAUUCAGUGAGAUCAAGUGAGCUGAAUGCCUAGCUAGAGGCCGCUUCAGUUCAAGUGGAAUUAAUGAUAUUAAUCCACAGCUUACUCUUGACUGAACCCGUAGGGUCACACAAAUAGUACGUAAACGGAUCAAUUAUUUAAUGGCAUUAAAUACUCUAUCUAUGGAUAUUCGGAAUCGACGGAUCUUGGUUUCAGUGGGAGCUGAGAUCGUCACAAAGCAAGAAAUGAAUACUCCGGAAACGAUGAUAUUGCCGGAAACGGAAAUAUGGAUCGUAUCGGAAAUAUAAAUAUUAUCCAAGUCGUAGAUGUUGCCGGAAACGGAAACAUGGUACGUAUCGGAAAAUAUUAUCGGAAAUGAAAAUAUUGCCGGAAUCGGAAAUAUUGCCGGAAACGGAAAUAUUGUCAGAAUCGGAAAUAUUUCGGAAUCAGAAAAUAAUUCCGGAAACGGAAAUAUUAAAUAUUUGUUCGAAACGGAAAUUAAUUCCGGAAUCGGAAAUAUUAAAUAUUGUUCGCAUCGAAAAUGAAUUCCGGAAUCGGAAAUUUAAUCGGAAGCGUAUCGUAAGAAUUAGCAUCGGACGAGGCCCGCUAGACGAAGGCCCAGCACGAAGCCAGGCCCUCGCCCAGCGAGCCGCACGCACCAACGCACGCCUCAACCAAGCCCAGCGCAAGGCCAGGCCCAGCCAAGGGCGCGCGCGCGCAGCACAGCAGCGUGGGCUGUGCGCCUGUCGUGGGCCGCAAGGCUUGCGUGGGUGCACGGCUUGUGCGAUGCUUGUGCGGGAAAUCCUAAUUCUAUUAGGAUUUGUGAAAAGAUUAAAAUCCUAAUCCUACUAGAUUUGCUUUGUUAUUUAGAGUCCUAAUAAAGUUCUAAUUAGCAAAUCCACAUCCUAGUAGGAUUACAAUUCCUUUUCCAUACUCCUAUAAAUAGGUGCCUAGGGUCACAAUUUAUGGGUACAAUUGAAGUAUUCAAAGGGUAAGUUUUUGAAAUAAAAAUCAGCCAUACACUUGCAAACACUAGCCGAAAUUCCUAAGCACCUUAAGGGCGAUUCUAGUUGGUCUAACUUGAGGCGGAUCCGGACGUACUGUGGACUAUCUACAGAGGGACAACAUUUGGAGUCCUAAAGACUUGUUCUUGUUCGGUUCGGGCGCAGCUAGGAAAGGCACGCUACAACAUGUAUGCAUCUGUUCUAUGCUAAAUGAUUAUGUGUAAAUAAUAUGCUUUCCUGGCUUUAUGGUUUUUCCGCAUGAUUUAUGAAUUGUCAUAUGUAUCAUAACCUAACAGUGGUAUCACGAGCCUCUUAUUAUUUUCAUAAUCUAAAUUGCAUAAACAUGGUUAAAUAUUACAAAUUUGCAAGAAUUAAAAGGGGUGAUUAAUUUUCGUAAUUGUUAAUUAAUUGCAAAUUGCGUUUAUUUAAUUAUACGUACGCAGUUUUUCGGCAGUUUCUUCGUUACUCAUCCAAAUCGAGUGAUUUUUGUGUCAAUUCCGCAUGUAAAAGGCAUUCUAAAAUUUUGACAAAAUAGUAUUUUUCGGCCGGACCCAGAAUUCUCAAAUUCGAAGCCUAACUAUGACUUUUCGGAGGUUUUAGUUUUUCGAAUGCAAAAUUUCGUAAAUUUAAGAUGUUAAAUUAAAUAUUUGCGAUUCUUGUUGAUAAAUCUUGAAUUUUUGAUUGACCUACUGUAUAUGUUUAACAAGUUUGAAUGCCUAGCCUUGUUAAUUAUGCAAUCUAAUUCGUAAUUAUGAUUAAGUUGUUAAAAAUUGGAAUAAUUUAGAAUUAAUUUGAUUUUCAUAAUUAGUUAUAAUUUAAUUAGAUACCUAUGAUUAAAAACCACCAUAAAAAUUGUAAAUUUAUGUUAAAUUUUAAAUUUUUAUGACCUAGACUUGAAUCCAUGUUAAUCGGAAAUCAAUAAAUUAAUAAAUUUUCGAUUUUUCGCCCUAAAAUUAUGAAAUUAAUAUGAUUUAUUAAUUUGUCAUUAAUUUUGAAAAUAAAAUUUUUAAUUUUUAUGCGAUUCGCUCAUAUAACUUGCACGCACAAAGCAAUGGACGCUACGUGUUACCCUUAAGGGGUGUUGUAUAGUGCGGGCAUGCGACGACGAGCAAGGGAGCUCGUCGCCCAUGCGGUACGAAUGCAGCGAGCAAGGGCAUGGUGCUCGAGCACAAGGUAGGUGCCCUGCCUUGUGUCGUGGGCUGUGUGCGAUGGGCGCAUGGGCAAGGGCGAGAGCAAGGCACGAGCCGUCGCGUGUGGGCAGCAAGCGAGCUGCGCCACAGCGCGCACUGCCUCGCGUGCGACGAGCGCUGCGCCCAGCGAUGGUGAGCAGCAUGCUUGUUGCAACGAGUGCUGGCGCUGCGCCCAGCGAUGGUGAGCAGCGUGCGCGUGCGACGAGCGCCUGCGCCCAGCGAUGGUGAGCAGCGUGCUUGUUGCGACGAGCGCUGGCGCGCGCCUUGCGAUGGUGAGCAGCAGCGAUGCGACGCAGCGCAUGGGCUGCGCGCACAUGGCCAGCGAUGGCUGUAUGCGUGUGGCCUAUGGCUGUGCGUUGCGUGGGGUUGUUGCGUUACGAUUAGAUCGUUUUAAAAUUUUAAUUCGAUUCAGUUUUCGUAAUUUUAAUUAAUUUUAAAAUUAACAAUUUAAAUUGUUUUCUUGGAUUUUAAUUUUGAAUAUUAUAAUUAUAAUAAAUUUUAUUUAUUCUAAUUAUUUUACUAAAAUUAAAAUCAUGAAUUAAUUUAAAUACGACUGAAAAAUAAAUUAAAUAAGUGGAUUCAAUUAUAAAUUUAUAUGAGCUUUAAAUUUUAAUUAAAUUUGUAUGUUUCCGGUUAGACUAGAAAUACAUUUUAUGUUUAAAAUUAGUAAAGCAUAUGAAUUUAUUGGUUUAAGUGGGAGCCAUUUUAGUCAUAAACUCUUGAUUAGGUCUACAAAUCCUUAAGGUUAAAACAACUAGAUUAGAAUUAAUGAGGACUGGAUAAUUAAUAGAUUAUUGCUGCCCUUGAUUAAUUGCUGCAAAUGUUUAUGUGAUGCAUGAUGUGUUUUACUACCCAGCUAUGUGGGUCAUUCAUGAUAAUGAAUGGGUGAAUGGUAUAUAUUGUAUAUGUACUGUUUUGCAGGUUAUGAAGUGACUAGUAUGACCCAAAUAGGAUAGAAAAUAUGGUAUGCGUACCAUUAAUUUGAAUGUAAUUGGUCUAAAGUACCAAAAUUGUUUUUCAAUUCAAAUAUAGUCUGCGUACCAUCAAAUAAUUGUAAUUAGUUUUAAUUAUAGCUUAUCCUAUUUGAAGAAAAUGGUGCCUCCCACAGAGAUUUUCAAGACGGACUUUGAAGUUGAAGCUUCAAGAUGAAGUCGGGCCAUACUAGAUCACAUUUAUCUUAUGCAUGUUUUAAGUUAUUUAUUGCUUUUAAAUAUGUCUUAAAUAUGCAUGAGAUCAAAGCUUGAUUAUGUUGCAUGAUUAAGGAUUUUAGUUCACUUAAAAUCUAACCAACAUAGUAAGAGCCUUAAGUUCCAAACUUAAAAAUUGAGUUAAAAGGUGCCAUGCCAAAAUAUACACUUGCUUGGAUAUCCUUUACAUCAAUCUAGUAAUAGUUUUCGCUCAGCGAGGUGUUACUUAUUGGCCCUAAAGGGGCAAGGUACACAAAUAAUUGUGAUUACAUGUUAGUUUUGGUGAAACUCAACAAUAUAAGUAAGGAGUCCUUUUAUGUCGUGGCAAAAUCGAUAGGUUUACCUAAUAAGUUCUUAGACGUACCUAUCAACCAAGAAUAGUUUCUAGACUAUUAGCAAAAGGCUUUUGCUUACCUAAGAUGUUUUAGGAUUAAGUCGACAAACUGUGCUUAAUUCUUCAAUGAUUUUAGGAUCUUGGAAUCAUUUUAUUCACACCUGCCGGAACACAUAACUUGAAUAAAAUGCUUAAUGAACAUUGAAUUAUGCAUGUAUGCUAGAAUUUAAGUUUAUUAAGAGAAACUGUGAAUGGUUAUUUAUUUGUUUAUUCUUUUCAAUUGUAGUUUUAACUAUGGCAAACAACAAUUCAUUCAACAUUCGGUCAAUUCUCGAAAAGGAGAAGUUGAGCGGGAAAAACUUCCUUGACUGGCAAAGGAACUUGCAAAUAGUUCUUAUGCAGGAAGAAAAGGAGUAUGUCCUAGAUGAGGCGAUGCCCGAAGCCGCAGGCGACGGGGUCACUCAGGCAGCCCUCAAUCGUUGGAUUGAUGCCAACUGGGAUGUGAAAUGUCUAAUGCUCGCCACCAUGAGUGCAGAUCUGCAGAAAACGUUCAUCAACUCAGAUGCUUUCGCAAUCAUCAGUGAGUUGAAGAACAUGUUCUAAGAUCUGGCUCGAGUCGAAAGAUUCGAGACUCAUAGGCAAAUUCUUGAGACCAAGCUUAAGAAAGGCGAGCCCGUAAGUCCACAUGUUCUCAAAAUGAUUGGACUCAUUGAGAAUAUGAGUCGACUGGAUUAGCAAUUCUCUCAGGAAAUGGUUGUAGACACCAUCCUCCAUUCUCUUCAUAACGGGUAUGAUCAGUUUAAACUGAACUACAGUAUGAAUAGUCUGAACAAAACGCUCACUGGGCUUCACGGUAUGCUGAAAACCGCUGAAAAGACGCUCAAAAGUGAUAAGCAAGAUGUGCUUAUGGUGCGUGGGGGCAAGUUCAAGAAAUCUGGAAAGAAGAGGAAUGCUAAGAGAGGUGGCAACAAGGCCAGCCCAACUAAGCAAACUGGCGCCAAGUCUGAAAAGAGGAAGGUCAGUCAACCCACUUCUGAAUCCGAAUGCUUCUACUGCAAGAAGAAGGGGCAUUGGAAAAGAGAUUGCUUGAAGCUAAAGGAAGAUCAGAAGAACGGAACAGUCGUUCCAACUUCAGGGACUAAGAAGAAGUAGCAAGGGUGAAGUCGACCUACGAGUGGUAAAUGGAGCACGGAUUGCUGCAUUAGCUGUAAGAACUUAUUAUUUGUCGUUGCCCUCCGGGCUAGUUUUGGAACUGGAAGAAUGU